UGAGUAACACGUGGGUGAUCUGCCCUGCACUUUGGGAUAAGCCUGGGAAACUGGGUCUAAUACCGAAUAUGACCACGCUCUUCAUGGGGUGUGGUGGAAAGCUUUUGCGGUGUGGGAUGGGCCCGCGGCCUAUCAGCUUGUUGGUGGGGUAAUGGCCUACCAAGGCGACGACGGGUAGCCGGCCUGAGAGGGUGACCGGCCACACUGGGACUGAGAUACGGCCCAGACUCCUACGGGAGGCAGCAGUGGGGAAUAUUGCACAAUGGGCGCAAGCCUGAUGCAGCGACGCCGCGUGAGGGAUGACGGCCUUCGGGUUGUAAACCUCUUUCACCAGGGACGAAGCGCAAGUGACGGUACCUGGAGAAGAAGCACCGGCCAACUACGUGCCAGCAGCCGCGGUAAUACGUAGGGUGCGAGCGUUGUCCGGAAUUACUGGGCGUAAAGAGCUCGUAGGUGGUUUGUCG
rnacentral:rRNA from 1 species